AUCUAGCCAUGGGCAGGUUGAAGGUUGGGUAACACUAACUGGAGGACCGAACCGACUAAUGUUGAAAAAUUAGCGGAUGACCUGUGGCUGGGGGUGAAAGGCCAAUCAAACCGGGAGAUAGCUGGUUCUCCCCGAAAGCUAUUUAGGUAGCGCCUCGUGAACUCAUCUUCGGGGGUAGAGCACUGUUUCGGCUAGGGGGCCAUCCCGGCUUACCAACCCGAUGCAAACUACGAAUACCGAAGAAUGUUAUCACGGGAGACACACGGCGGGUGCUAACGUCCGUCGUGAAGAGGGAAACAACCCAGACCGCCAGCUAAGGUCCCAAAGUCAUGGUUAAGUGGGAAACGAUGUGGGAAGGCCCAGACAGCCAGGAUGUUGGCUUAGAAGCAGCCAUCAUUUAAAGAAAGCGUAAUAGCUCACUGGUCGAGUCGGCCUGCGCGGAAGAUGUAACGGGGCUAAACCAUG
rnacentral:rRNA from 1 species